rnacentral:lncRNA from 1 species
AGUCUCAGGGCGUUUGGCGAUGGGAUUCUCGGGUCUUGUACUUAAGCUUUGAAAAUGGGAGACGUCACAGUUUUGCUUUUCCUGGAGACAAGUAUUUUGCAGAAAUACAACUCACAACUACAUUGAAACAGGAGAACUGCUUGGUUCGGGAUGGCUAGAGAAUCAAGGGAAAGCACAACCCUGGACUCACACUCUGCAGAGGACCAGAUGGAGCUACUGGUCAUAAAGGUGGAACAAGAAGAGGUCUCCCCAUUGGCAGAGGAGACCAGUUGGCUGGGCAGUCCUGGGCCUGACCGACUGUCAUUGAACUGAAGCCGCUCUGGAGCUCUUAAUGACUGCAGAAGUCAUAGGCUAGGGCUCUAUUUAAUAAUGUACAUCCUCAGAUAUUAGGAAUCUGACUAAGACUUAUUAUCUUCUACAUUCUAGAAGGUGACUAUAAAAAAAAACUUAUUUCAUAGGAGAGUUGUCUGCAAGAGUUCUAACCUAUUGGAAUUAAAUGGGCUUCCUGACUGUC